GAGUUCCAGCUCUAAUGACUCUGCUCUCUCAGCUGCAGCAGAAUGGCCCAGGAAGAGAAACGGGGCUCUCUGGGUGCCAGGGGACUGCUCUGCAACUGGGACAGGAGAGAAGAUUAAAGGUGCCUUACUGAUGUGCGGGAGCCCGAAGCCAGGCUGAAUCCGGACAAUAGGGAAACCUCCAUGAUCACCAUGUUGGAAGUG